UACGUAGGGUGCAAGCGUUGUCCGGAAUUAUUGGGCGUAAAGAGCUCGUAGGCGGUUUGUUGCGUCGGCUGUGAAAUCCCGAGGCUCAACCUCGGGUCUGCAGUCGAUACGAGCAAACUAGAGUGUUGCAGGGGAGAAUGGAAUUCCCGGUGUAGCGGUGAAAUGCGCAGAUAUCGGGAGGAACACCGGUGGCGAAGGCGGUUCUCUGGGCCUUACCUGACGCUGAGGAGCGAAAGCGUGGGGAGCGAACAGG
rnacentral:rRNA from 1 species